GCCGAAGUUGCAAGUGGUGACUGGUGAGCAAGAGCAAAGUUGCUACCUCGCUUGAAGAGCUCUGACCUGUCACCGGGAGGCCUCAUCCAAAUUGCUACCCAUCAACUUCGUUGGACUCGCCAAGCAGGCGGGGCACCCCUCUCGGAAAAUCUGAGGGUUAUUAGGUCAUUUGAGACCUGAAUUAUAAGCACAGUCAUGUAUUUGUGACAAUUAUUAGAAGGAAAUGGUCGAGAACUUGGAUGUGAGGGUGCCCUGGUGUGGGAGGCGCCGCGGCCUCGGCAGACCAGACGGACUCCAAUGUGGAAGGGAGCAAGAAGGAAGGGACAAUUUUUUUCGGGUCGAUUGUUGCUGUUUUGGGUUGGUUACCACAUCAACUAGGUUGUGUUCUCCUUUAAGCUCUCGAUCUCUUGACGGCGCUGCUGCUCCUGGUAUUCCUAUCUUCUCGAUAUUUAUUAUUUUGUUUCUUACUUUGUAGGCUUAUUUGUGUUGCCUCAAACAUGAGACUGCUGAGAGUGUUCCUAGGCUGAAUAUGGCUACUAUUUGGGUGCCAGGUGACAUGGUUUUAAAUAGGGCAUUAGAUUUUGAUUUGCUGUGAAGGACACAAUUAUUUGAGCACGGAAGGCAACAAAGGUGCAUGAUCUCAUGAAGAGGGCAUUCUUUUAUGUGAGGCUUGGUACAGACGUCUUGUCAGCCCUGCUGUCUGCGCUACUCAACUGAAUGUCGGCGUGGACGCUGGCGCAUUCCAGGGGGUGCAUUUGAGCAGCGACAGUCAUCUUGGCGAUUUAGUACGCUGGUGAUCUAAUACUUGGAUCAUGCAUGUCUCCACUUCUCGUUGUCUUUUAAUGUUUUUUUAUCUCUCUGAAUCAUCUAGCAUAAACGAAAAUCAUGGUUUUGUAAUUUGUAACGAAGAGAUCUGUGACAAGUUGAGUAAUGUAUAUGCAGGGGUCACAACCAUUGCCGGGAGAAAGUCAACGAGAAGUGGAGACAUGCAUGAUCCAAGUGAUGAUGCAUGAAUGUUUACUAACGCUGAAAUUUGCUAUAGCAGCAGUAGAUUGACAGAGAAAACCAAGCAAUGCUGGAGAUUCAGCUCCAGCCUGAUGGACUGAUAUCAGGAUGAAGCUGGUUUUCCUCUAGGCGUUGCCUUGCUUUUUUGCUACUGGUUUCUUUGGCUACAUGCUUUGCGUUGCUUGAAGCCAGGUUUUAGCAAUGGUGUCAACCUCCAUUGAGCCGUUGCCGACCUCCACCGAGCAGUCGCUGCUUCUCCUAGGGCCCCUGUCUCGGUCCUCUCCAACAAGGGUAUAUAUCAAGAAGGUUGUUGGUGAAAGGGGCGAGUUCUGUAGACGAGUGCACCAUGGGAUGAAGGAGGAUGCUCUUAAGCAUGUAUUCGUGAGUAGAGUGAUGGAUGUCAAGGACUUUCCUGUAUGGAUUCGGCGUUCGUAUGUCUGUGCUUCUAAUGGUCUGGUACUCAUGGACGAGUUGUUGCAACUGUUACCUGCGGUUGAAAUUGUUGAUCUUAGUCGGAACCAGUUUGCAAAUGUGGAUAAUCUAUGGAAAUGUACAAAGAUGCAAAAUCUGGACCUUGGAUUAAUCAUUUGCAUUCUGUUUCAUCCCUGAGUGAGGAUUUCUGAUGAAGGGUUGUGUUAGUUGAGGAUCCUUUGUUUUGUUGUUCAGGUGUGCCUUCGAGUCCAUCAGGUGUGCCCAGCAGAUGCUUGUAAAAGCAGGAGGGGAAACACUGGUCACUGGAGCUGCCACUGAACCUCCAUUGUUAGGUAAAUCUUGUGGCGAGCAGCGGAUGGUCGGAUAGCUGUGGCCGAUGGUGUGGAUGGCGUAGCGGAGGAUUAGAUGGGGUGGAGGGCAUGGAGGGAGGUGUAGCACAUCAAGGAGGGGUAGGGACAUAGGUCAAGAGGAAGAGACUGGACUGUUAGCGCAAAUCGGGAUGGGAUGAACGGUAUUAGCUGAAAAUAGUGGUGGAAAUUAUUUACGCACGGGAAACAUUUGUAACAGUUCCUGUUUCCUGUGGUAUCGGUUAAGGCGCUCAAAAUCUUGAACCGAACUUUUCGCUGUCUUAUACUCACAAUAAGUAGAAACAUUCUUCUUGGAAUUAGUAACUAUUCUUUUAUGCUUCUUUU